rnacentral:rRNA from 1 species
UACGUAGGUGGCAAGCGUUAUCCGGAUUUAUUGGGCGUAAAGGGAACGCAGGCGGUCUUUUUAGUCUGAUGUGAAAGCCUUCGGCUUAACCGGAGUAGUGCAUUGGAAACUGGGAGACUUGAGUGCAGAAGAGGAGAGUGGAACUCCAUGUGUAGCGGUGAAAUGCGUAGAUAUAUGGAAGAACACCAGUGGCGAAAGCGGCUCUCUGGUCUGUAACUGACGCUGAGGUUCGAAAGCGUGGGUAGCAAACAGG